GUGGCCAGCCGCCGCGGUAAUACGGAGGGUGCAAGCGUUGUCCGGAAUCACUGGGCGUAAAGGGUGUGCAGGCGGGGCAACAAGUCGGAUGUGAAACCCCAUGGCUCAACCAUGGAGGUGCAUUCGAAACUGUUGCUCUUGAGUCCCGGAGAGGCUGUCGGAAUUCGUGGUGUAGCGGUGAAAUGCGUAGAUAUCACGAGGAACACCAGAGGCGAAAGCGGACAGCUGGACGGGUACUGACGCUCAGGCACGAAAGCGUGGGGAGCAAACAGGAUUAGAUACCCCAGUAGUCC
rnacentral:rRNA from 1 species